UCUCAAAUUUCUUUCUCACACGAUAUGGAUUCUUCAACAUGUUUUCUCUCUUACUGAUAUGAUAACCAUUUUUACUAUCAUAAUACAUUAUCUGAAAGACCCAGAAGAUGGAGAUGAUGAAACCUUAAUCUUGUUUUUGAUGAUUCACUAGCAGCACAAUGAUUUCUCCUUUCAAAACUCAAGAUUUGCCCAUUUUUUGGUUUCUUUAGGGUAUUUGGGAAUUUGCUCUUGCACUGCUACAUUAUGUGAGCAAACUCUUGUUUAACCAUGGACUGCCAUUUGGCGAUGGUUAUGAUCUCAUCAUGUCAAGAAUUUAGAUGAGAAAGGAAAUUCAACUCGAUGUUGCUACAUGUUGGAGAUGCAAAAGGUGAAAUGGAACUGCAGCCCGAUGUGAUCGCUUAUAGUUAUUUGAUUUGUAGGUUUUUCAAUCAACUUAAAUCAUUGAAAGAAGACCUGCAGUUUUGUAUUUGAUAUGUAGUGACAUUCCAGGCAUAUGUUUCU